GUUACGAUCAGGCAAGAGUAAAUACUGGAGCAGCUUUCCAGCGGUGGAGAAACUCAAGGAGGCUGGAACUUCUUGUAAACGACAAAAGACUUCAGUACAAGUUUAAGUACAUCGAAACAAACAUGAACUGGCAUGAUGCUCAAAAGUACUGCAGAUCAAGCCAUGUAGACCUGGCCACCGUUACAGAUGACACAGAGAACGCGUACCUCGCAUAUGUGAUUGAAAGAAAGUACGACUGGAAUGCCUGGAUCGGCCUGUCCAAGAACCUGGGGCUGUGGCAGGGGCAGUGGUCGGAUCAGACCAGCGUGUCGUCCUCUGUGAAAUGGAAAUCUGGGCAGCCUGAUAACGUGAAUGGCAUUGAAAAUUGUGCGAGUGCCGAUACUGAUGGACAGAUGGCUGAUGACACCUGCUGGACUCGACUGCCUUUCUACUGCCGCGAAAAAAGGAAAACCCAGCAUGUGAGAGUCGCAGUUAAAUCAGACGGAUCUCUGGACGAGUCCGCAGUGAUGAAGGCCAUAGAGAAGAAGAUGAAGCAGAUCCUCUCGGAUCAGGGCGUGGAAAUCACACCAAGCUUAACAUGGAUUGUCCAACCUGACGGGAUGAUCUUCCAGCAGCAGGAAACACAAGAAAACACAAGAGACGCAUGAGUAACAUCCAAACACUAGACUCUGAUACAUACCAUAUCUUGUCCAGUCAUUAAUGAAUUAUGAAUUUAUGAAAGCUACAGGAAUUAAUAAUAAAUAAGAUUUUAUGUUU
rnacentral:lncRNA from 1 species